AAGAUUGUAAAUGAUGCGAAGACUUCCUUAUCUUAAGUAGACUACUUGGUAUUAACCUGAAAGUAAAAAGAGCGAUUUGCACAUUUUCUGGGGCCGAGACGAUAUGUGGAAUAUGAUUCCCUUUCUUCUAACGCCAAAUGUAUAGGUAUGUUGUCGGCCAACCGUAACCUAAGAUUGUAGAGAAAUGGAGAUAGCUGAAUUAGAAUAGGCAUCUGAUCUACCUUCUUUUUUCUCACUUGAGCUUUAAACUGGAUUUAGAAGCAUUUUACAACAAUUCUCCAUGAUGUAUGCAUGCUAUAAUUAUGGUACAAUGAUACAAACACGGAUUUGAGUGAAGGUUGUCUGCAGAACUAAAACAUAUUGCGUAUUAGUCAACUGUGUUAUAGCAUUACUCAUUGUAUGUACUGCAUUUGUCGGUGGGUUCC
rnacentral:lncRNA from 1 species